AACACGUGGGUAACCUGCCUGUAAGACUGGGAUAACUCCGGGAAACCGGGGCUAAUACCGGAUGGUUGUCUGAACCGCAUGGUUCAGACAUAAAAGGUGGCUUCGGCUACCACUUACAGAUGGACCCGCGGCGCAUUAGCUAGUUGGUGAGGUAACGGCUCACCAAGGCGACGAUGCGUAGCCGACCUGAGAGGGUGAUCGGCCACACUGGGACUGAGACACGGCCCAGACUCCUACGGGAGGCAGCAGUAGGGAAUCUUCCGCAAUGGACGAAAGUCUGACGGAGCAACGCCGCGUGAGUGAUGAAGGUUUUCGGAUCGUAAAGCUCUGUUGUUAGGGAAGAACAAGUGCCGUUCAAAUAGGGCGGCACCUUGACGGUACCUAACCAGAAAGCCACGGCUAACUACGUGCCAGCAGCCGCGGUAAUACGUAGGUGGCAAGCGUUGUCCGGAAUUAUUGGGCGUAAAGGGCUCGCAGGCGGUUUCUUAAGUCUGAUGUGAAAGCCCCCGGCUCAACCGGGGAGGGUCAUUGGAAACUGGGGAACUUGAGUGCAGAAGAGGAGAGUGGAAUUCCACGUGUAGCGGUGAAAUGCGUAGAGAUGUGGAGGAACACCAGUGGCGAAGGCGACUCUCUGGUCUGUAACUGACGCUGAGGAGCGAAAGCGUGGGGAGCGAACAGGAUUAGAUACCCUGGUAGUCCACGCCGUAAACGAUGAGUGCUAAGUGUUAGGGGGUUUCCGCCCCUUAGUGCUGCAGCUAACGCAUUAAGCACUCCGCCUGGGGAGUACGGUCGCAAGACUGAAACUCAAAGGAAUUGACGGGGGCCCGCACAAGCGGUGGAGCAUGUGGUUUAAUUCGAAGCAACGCGAAGAACCUUACCAGGUCUUGACAUCCUCUGACAAUCCUAGAGAUAGGACGUCCCCUUCGGGGGCAGAGUGACAGGUGGUGCAUGGUUGUCGUCAGCUCGUGUCGUGAGAUGUUGGGUUAAGUCCCGCAACGAGCGCAACCCUUGAUCUUAGUUGCCAGCAUUCAGUUGGGCACUCUAAGGUGACUGCCGGUGACAAACCGGAGGAAGGUGGGGAUGACGUCAAAUCAUCAUGCCCCUUAUGACCUGGGCUACACACGUGCUACAAUGGACAGAACAAAGGGCAGCGAAACCGCGAGGUUAAGCCAAUCCCACAAAUCUGUUCUCAGUUCGGAU
rnacentral:rRNA from 1 species